rnacentral:rRNA from 1 species
CCUACGGGCGGCAGCAGUGGGGAAUAUUGCACAAUAGGGGAAACCCUGAUGCAGCGACGCCGCGUGAGUGAAGCAGUAUUUCGGUAUGUAAUGCUCUAUCCGCAGGAACGAGACAAGACGGUACCUGACUAAGAAGCCCCGGCUAACUACGUACCAGCAGCCGCGGUAAUACGUAGGGAGCAAGCGUUAUACGGAAUCACUGGGUGUAAGGGGUGCGUAGACGGCUGUGCAAGCCUGAAGUGAAAGGCUGGGGCCCAGCCCCUGGACUGCUUUGGGAACUGUACGGCUGGAGUGCCGGAGAGGUAAGUGGAAUUCCUAGUGUAGCGGUGAAAUGCGUAGAUAUUAGGAGGAACACCAGUGGCGAAGGCGGCUUACUGGACUGUAACUGACGUUGAGGCUCGAAAGCGUGGGGAGCAAACAGGAUUAGAUACCCUUGUAGUC